CCUACGGGUGGCAGCAGUGAGGAAUAUUGGUCAAUGGCCGCAGGACUGAACCAGCCAAGUCGCGUGAGGGAUGACGGUCCUAUGGAUUGUAAACCUCUUUUGUCAGGGAGCAAAGGGCGCCACGUGUGGCGCUUUGAGAAUACCCGAAGAAAAAGAAUCGGCUAACUCCGUGCCAGCAGCCCCGGUAAUACGGAGGAGGCGAGCGUUAUCCGGAUUUAUUGGGGUUAAAGGGUGUGCGGGCGGAAUGUCAAGUCAGCGGUAAAAUUACGGGGCGCAACCUCGGCGUGCCGUUGAAACUGGCGUUCUUGAGUGAGCGAGAAGUAUGCGGAAUGCGUGGUGUAGCGGUGAAAUGCAUAGAUAUCACGCAGAACUCCGAUUGCGAAGGCAGCAUACCGGCGCUCAACUGACGCUCAUGCACGAAAGCGUGGGUAUCGAACAGGAUUAGAUACCCGUGUAGUC
rnacentral:rRNA from 1 species